GUAGUCAUAUGCUUGUCUCAAAGAUUAAGCCAUGCAUGUCUAAGUAUAAGCAAUUAUACGGCGAAACUGCGAAUGGCUCAUUAUAUAAGUUAUCGUUUAUUUGAUAGCACCUUUUUACUCGGAUAACUGUGGUAAUUCUAGAGCUAAUACGUGCUGAAAAUCCCGACUUCGGAAGGGCUGUAUUUAUUAGAUUCAAAACCAAUGCCCUUCGGGGCUUCAUGGUGAUUCAUAAUAACUGCUCGAAUCGCAUGGCCUUGCGCCGGCGAUGGUUCAUUCAAAUUUCUUCCCUAUCAACUUUCGAUGCGAGGGUCUUGUCCUCGCAUGGUUACAACGGGUAACGGAGGGUUAGGGCUCGACCCCGGAGAAGGAGCCUGAGAAACGGUAAGCUUUCCUCGCUGCUCUCGAACACCGAAAACAUUGUUACUAACGAAUUUUCUCUCUAGGCUACUACAUCCAAGGAAGGCAGCAGGCGCGCAAAUUACCCAAUCCCGACACGGGGAGGUAGUGACAAUAAAUACUGAUACAGGGCUCUUUUGGGUCUUGUAAUCGGAAUGAGUACUAUUUAAAUCCCAUAACGAGGAACAAUUGGAGGGCAAGUCUGGUGCCAGCAGCCGCGGUAAUUCCAGCUCCAAUAGCGUAUAUUAAAGUUGUUGUGGUUAAAAAGCUCGUAGUUGAACCUUGGGCCUGGCUUGUCAGUCCCCCUCACCGGGUGCACUGAUCUGGCCGGGUCUUUCCCUCUGUGGAACCCCAUGGCCUUCACUGGUCGUGGCGGGGAAACAGGACUUUUACUUUGAAAAAAUUAGAGUGCUCCAGGCAGGCCUAUGCUCGAAUACAUUAGCAUGGAAUAAUAAAAUAGGACGCGUGGUUCUAUUUUGUUGGUUUCUAGGACCGCCGUAAUGAUUAAUAGGGACAGUCGGGGGCGUCAGUAUUCAAUUGUCAGAGGUGAAAUUCUUGGAUCUAUUGAAGACUAACUACUGCGAAAGCAUUCGCCAAGGAUGUUUUCAUUGAUAAGGAACGAAAGUUAGGGGAUCGAAGACGAUCAGAUACCGUCGUAGUCUUAACUAUAAACUAUGCCGACUAGGGAUCGGACGAUGUUGAUUUAUGACUCGUUCGGCACCUUUCGAGAAAUCAAAGUGCUUGGGCUCCAGGGGGAGUAUGGUCGCAAGGCUGAAACUUAAAGAAAUUGACGGAAGGGCACCACCAGGGGUGGAACCUGCGGCUUAAUUUGACUCAACACGGGGAAACUCACCAGGUCCAGACACAGUGAGGAUUGACAGAUUGAUAGCUCUUUCUUGAUUCUGUGGGUGGUGGUGCAUGGCCGUUCUUAGUUGGUGGAGUGAUUUGUCUGCUUAAUUGCGAUAACGAACGAGACCUUAACCUGCUAAAUAGCCCGAUCUGCCCCGGCAGUUCGCUGGCUUCUUAGAGGGACUAUCGGCUCAAGCCGAUGGAAGUUUGAGGCAAUAACAGGUCUGUGAUGCCCUUAGAUGUCCUGGGCCGCACGCGCGUUACACUGACAAAGCCAGCGAGUAUUUCCUUGACCGGAAGGUCCGGGUAAUCUUGUUAAACUUUGUCGUGCUGGGGAUAGAGCAUUGCAAUUAUUGCUCUUCAACGAGGAAUCCCUAGUAAGCGCAAGUCAUCAGCUUGCGUUGAUUACGUCCCUGCCCUUUGUACACACCGCCCGUCGCUACUACCGAUUGAACGGCUCAGUGAGGUUUUCGGACUGGCCCAGGGAGGCGGGCAACUGCCACCCCGGGCCGGAAAGUUACCCAAACUCGGUCGUUUAGAGGAAGUAAAAGUCGUAACAAGGUCUCCGUAGGUGAA
rnacentral:rRNA from 1 species